rnacentral:rRNA from 1 species
UCUACGGGUGGCUGCAGUGAGGAAUAUUGGUCAAUGGACGCAAGUCUGCACCAGCCAUGCCGCGUGCAGGAAGACGGCUCUAUGAGUUGUAAACUGCUUUUGUACGAGGGUAAACGCAGAUACGCGUAUCUGUCUGAAAGUAUCGUACGAAUAAGGAUCGGCUAACUCCGUGCCAGCAGCAGCGGUAAUACGGAGGCUUCAAGCGUUAUCCGGAUUUCUUGGGUUUAAAGGGUGCGUAGGCCGGCGGAUAAGUUAGAGGUGAAAUCCCGAGGCUUAACUUCGGAAUUGCCUUUGAUACUGUUCGGCUAGAGAGUAGUAGCGGUAGGCGGAAUGUAUGGUGUAGCGGUGAAAUGCUUAGAGAUCAUACAGAACACCGAUUGCGAAGGCAGCUUACCAAGCUACUGCUGACGUUGAGGCACGAAAGCGUGGGGAGCAAACAGGAUUAGAUACCCGUGUAGUC